CAUUUUAGCUGACUAAUUACAUAGCCAUCCGUUUGAUUGAAUAUAUAAUAUUGAUGCCAGUUAAUGGAAUCGAUGGUAUGUGUGCGACAGUAAACAGCUAUAUCCGAUAUUCCUCGUUUCUUUCCAAGGGGCUUCCUCAUUUCUCAUAAAGGGUGAUCCAUUUCGAGAUUCACUAAUUUUUAAAGAAAAAACAGAAACUUCCAAUUUAUUGGGGAAUGUUUAUUAUCAUUCCAAAGUGCAUUAUUUGGCAUUUAUAUUUUGAAGAUUAUCUCUUUCAAAUGUUGGCCGCAUCAAAACGUGAAGUUAUCUGCUCCACGAAGUGUUCUCUCAAUAAAUUCAUUGAUUGAUGCGAUGUGUGGGAAGUGGCACCAUCUCGUUGAAACUAACACCCCUAUCAUGCAUUUCGAUUACAUUCCCGCUCUACGCUCCGCCGGAUUCGAAAUUAGAUAUCAUGCGUUACGAUUGGAUUGAAAGAAGAAGAGGAAGAGCUAUAACUCUUUCGAAAUCAGCUGUUUGCUUUGAAAUAUGUGAAACUGGAACAUAACAAAGCAAAAAUACACAAAUUACUGCUGUUCAAAGAAAAUAAAUAAAAGUAAAAUUUUUAUAUUGUUAUUAUUUUUAUUAAACGUAACUAUGGAAUCUUUAUCCGCGGCGAUAUUACUGGUUGAGGAGGAGAGCAGCGCAUCUCAGAAUGCUGGGGUGAGAAUUGAAAGGAGAAGAUUAGGAGAUAUGUGCGAUCCCUUCCAGAUGAAUGACGGGCUAUUCAGAAAAACUUUCGCCUGAAUAAGGACACAUGUCCUAUAUACGUUUGCGGAAGAAACUACGGCAAGUAAAUUUGAUGCUACCUCUUUCCAAAAAGCCUGCACAUCUUCCUUAGGACGCUGGUGGAAACCGUUGGCUAUAUCUAGCUUACUCUCCAUCAUAUCUGCCAAUUUUCCAUAUUGCUCUGGUGUUGUUGUUUUUGACCUGAAAGCAUAUCAAAAAACAUCACUAAAACUGGAAAUGUCGUGUGUUUUACAACUCUUAAAUACAAGUUUUACUUACAUUUUUAGAAAAUUAAAAAAAAAUCACGCAAAUAAUAAAAACAAAUUCUCAGCAAAAUAAAAACACAAAAAGUUCUCCGCCAACAAAAUUGCAAUUUAGCAAAACGGAGCUACGAUCGAAAUGCAUGAUAGGCAGAAUUGUAAAUUUCGAAGUUGAACUGAACGGGAACGGAACGCAUGAUACCAAAGUCGCCAAACGGAGAAAAUUUCAAUCCAAGUCGAAAUGCGUGAUAGGGGUGUAAUUGUGCCGAUAUCUUGAGUUUCAAUUAAUCGGUUAUCAUGGCACGAUAAAGGUCGCGCUUGACGUUUACGUUCUCACCGACAUCAGUUUUGAAGAAAUAUAGACCGAUUAUUACGGCCUACAAACCACACCAAACUGUUGCGUUUUUCUGAAAGAAAUUAAAUCUAUUCAGGUUGCUCUUUGUCCCAAAUGCAUAAAUUUAGAUUGUUUACAUACUAGAAAUGGGCAUCAUCACUGAACAAAAUUUUGCUCGAAAAGGAUAAACUAUAGUGAAGUGAUGUCGCUUGAGAAGGUCGAUGGGCUUCAGUUCUUGCGUAAACUGUGUUUCUGAUUUCAAGUUAAGAACUCGACGGAAAACGCGAACGGCGCCUAGUUGACACUCUACGGUCUUGAUGUAAACUUCCGACUAUGGCUGCUAUAUUUUCUUCAAUGUAUGCUUAUCGUGGUCUAUUGGGUUGAAUAUUAUACAAUAACGAAUUCUGGUGUAAGUCAUUCCAUGAAGAUAUGCCAACUAAUACAGGACGGCUUGGCACGACUCACGCGUGAUCUGUCAGAAUGGGCUAUUGAAUCAUCCGUUACAACAGCGAUACGAACCUUCAGUCGUAUCGAAAUAUAACAUUAUAGGAUCUACUCUUCUCACGGCAGUCGAGUCUAAGGAACGGGAACGGGACUUUUAUCCGGUUAAGGACCUUCAACUCUGAGCCUACCGUUAGUGGAUUCUGGUGACAUCCAACUUGUAUCUUACCAUUCAAGCGGAAACUAUGCAACCACUACAAAAACAGCAACAGUUGUCAUCUAAUUUUCAAAUACGUGUAAAUUUUAGAAUAGUAUACCCCGAUUUCGGAGUUACAAUGGAUAUGUACGGAUAGAGGAGAUCCUCCAGAUCAAGAAAAUAUAUACUAUAUUGGGUAGUUGAAAAAGUUAAAUUUUAACAGUUGUUUAAAUGAGUUAAGCAUCCACCCACUCUACGCGGAAAAACGGGCGCACACUAAUAAGAAAGCUUAGUUCACCACAGCUGAUACCACUCAACACAACUCAACCCCCCUCCACAUCAAUCAACGCACAUAACAAAAAGGCUGGAAAAAAGGAUUGCGGACACAUUCGAUCUAUACAAGCUGCACAUUUACAUUCAUUUUUUGAUACACUUUCCGGUUGUAACACCCAUCCCGCGCGCAGCAUCAACGUCCGAAUCUAUACUGCGCCGUGUCAAGACUACCUUUUGAUCUAAUCGACAUCGUUGCCCCCGCGCCGACAUAUAGCAUUGUAGAACAUUGGGCUGUACUUCGAUACCAACACCCUUUUAUAAUAUAUGUAUAUAAUAAUACGAUAAUUCAGUCGCAACCGAGUUGUCAAACCGUACGGUCGCAUUUUUCUUUUUCUCUCGCGGUCAUUCUAGUGGUGUCUGUGUUAUAACGCUACUUUACAGUUUUGCACAAAUAACUUUUUUACUGUUAAUUUCUCGCUGUAUUUAUUUCUUAUUGUUAACUGGUGCUACAUUUAUAAAUUUUUGCAUACAUAAAAAGUAAUAUUUUCACAAUGCCCCCUGGGGCCAAUAAUCUGGGUGAUAAUAGGUUUGCCCUAUUAUCCUCAGCCCAGAAGACUAAAAGAAAAAAGCCUGAGCAAACAACGUUGGAACUAUUUCCGGAACUCUCCAUUACAAAGAAGGAUGACCCCAAAUACCUCGUCAUUAAGUCGCGGGAUGCCAGUAAACCCAUCACUUCCAUCUCCUGCUUCGCGACUUAUAAAGGUAUUCAAUCUAUCAGUAAAGAUAUUAACAACGUCUCGUCACUUCGCGAUGGCAGCCUACUCCUCCUUGUAAAAAAUCAAAAAAUUGCCGAUAAAUUCCUUUCUACUAAAAAUCAGAGAACGUCUAAUAUAGAGAAGGUUCAAUUGCGGACCAGCGUGUGAAUUGUCAAAAGCUAACAAAAUCCUAUUAGUGGAUUUCACCACUUUUGGCUCGGCAGGGGAAACAUUAACAGUGAUGAGCGAACAGAGCUGAGCAUUCAAUGAAAAUUAUGCUCAGAAAUAUACAUUGCUUUUACAGACGAAUGUUGGCCUUUUGGCUUAUAUUUUUAUACGUUUACAUGCUAUCAUAUCAAUUGAUAUGAAUAUGAUUUUGCGAAUUUUUGUGAAUUCAUGCAAAAUUGAUAAAUUUUUAUUAAAUUAUGCUAUUUUCAUGGUAACAUUUGUAGUUAAUGUCCAAAUAAAAGCUACUUUUUUAAUA